ACACAUCAACACACAUCAACACAUCAACACACAUCAACACAUCAACACACAUCAACACACAUCAGCACAUGCUCUAGUUUGAUUUACAGAGACUGAUUAGGAUCAAUAUGAGUAGGCAGAAAACCUUACCUGAUAUAAACUGUUUUUCAGUGAUGCUCACAGACACAACUAACUAAAAAUAUUUCUGUGCUGUGAUGUAUGUAGAUAUUUUAUCUGUUCAUCAUCCCGAUAAGGAAACAUGUGUCCAAGUCCACUGUUUCCUUCUCAAAUUCAAAUACAAUUCUAUACAUAAGAAUUUGCAUAUCCAGUUUCUUGUCAGUGCAUUUCUGGGGAUCUUCCACACAAUGUCAUACGUGUAAUUUCCAAUAUCAUGUUAUUGUCAGUUUAUACCCAGUAACUUCAAGUGGACUGUGAUAGUUGCUGUUGGCUGCUGCCGGUAAUUGCUCAGUAACCUCAAAGUAGGUUUGAGUGACUAAAUCUCACAAAUGUUGAUAUUCAGAUUAAAUUACCAAUUUGAAAAUACCGUAGCCAUUAAUCCAAAGUGAAAGAUUUUUGUGCCAUCUAUUCAGGAGAAAAAAAAGGGGAGGGGUCCUUUUGUACUGAAUCCUGUAGAUGAGGAGGCUGCAUUAAUGCGUAGUGAGUUACAUUUACAUCAUGAUUAAUUUUUUAUAAAAAAAUUUGCCAUAUCCGCAUGCAUAUUUAUUUGAGUGGUACCAUUUUUAAAUAAUAGUUUUCUAUAUAACAUUAGGGAUGCAGAGCACAUUAGUAAGGCUGCUGUAUGCAGAGUGGUAAGGAAAGUGUGCCUCACUCUCAUGCUCUUUCUUAUACUGUAUGUGUGUAGUUUCCUGAGUACAAAUCCAUCAAAAAUUAAGCUGAUUACUGUAUGGAAUGGAAGGAUGCAGAUGUAAGAGUAUGGCUUGAAAUAUAUGCCUUAACCACCACCAGCUGUUAAAUUUAUUUGGUCAUCUUUAUUUCCUUCAAAUACAAAAGCAACAGUUAUUCUUUCUCCUGUUGGAUUUUAAAGGACACCUAUUUUGCCCCUUUAUACAAGAUGUAAUAUAAAUCUGAGGUGUCCCCAGAAUGUGUCUGUGGAGUUUCAGCUCAAAAUACCCCACAGAUUAUUUAAUAUAUCAUUUUGAACAUGUCAAUAUUGAGUGGAAGCAGAAACACUCCGUUUUUUGUGCCUGUAUCUUUAAAUGUAAAUGAGCUGCUGUUCCCCGCCCCCUUUUCUAGAAUAUGGCUGUGCCUUUACAGCUCGUACCUCAGAUACUCUGCCAAAAAACAUCUGUUUGAUUUUCAUUAUCAUGUUUAUUGCACUGAAAUCAUGCGUUUUAAAACCAUAUCAGUUUGAACAUCUCAUUUACGGUUUUCUGAGUGCACAGAAAAUGGCUGUCACAUGGCAUGAGUUCUCUUUCAUGUCUUAUUGUGCUUAAACUGUCAAAUACACAAAAGUUUGUUAAAAAUACAUGAGUUACAAAACCGCCAGUUAUGUCUGUGAAGGUAAACAGGACCUGAAAAUAAUCCAGAUGAAGCCUUUAUCCAGUUUAAUUCAGCAUGUGUUUACAGAAGAAGAAGAAUAAGAAGACCUGAAUAAAUUUGUCAGAAAUACUAUUUCAGGUAUUGACUGUUGAAAUAUUGCAUAUGUAAUCUUGUGCAUGAUGCUGACACAGCCUGUGUCAAGGCGUAUUUUUUUUUUUUUACAUCUGAUAACAGACAUGUCCAAAAAUCCCCGAGCUGCUUUUCCCCCUUCUAAUCAAAUGAACCUGAAACACAAACAAACAACUCACUGUUUACCACCGUAGUCUAUAGGUACCAACAGGCGAAGCUCGUCUGUAAGGGCAGAGCCCCACCAAAAUAUUCACCCAAAACAUAGGCCUCUAUAUAAACAGAAUAAAUAAUAAACUGUAAAUGUGUUCAGUAUUCUGCAACAAAUACUUUUGGGAUUUUCCUGACAAAUUGUCAAGUCAAGGGAUACAGCCAGACUUUGAGAAGAUCAGUGCCAUUCUAAAAAUGGAAAGUCCCACAGAAAGGAAAGGAGUACAGCACAUCAUGGGUAUGGUGAAUUAUGUAGGAAAGUUCAUUCUGAAUCUUUCUGCAAAAACGUCAUGCCUACGAGAACUCCUACAAAGGACAACAGACUUUGUAUGGACAGACAAACAUGAGAGUGAAUGGCAAAGCUGAAAAUAGCAUUAACCUCUGCACCCAUAUUACAAUUCUUUGAUCCAACAAAUAGAACCAAAGUGUCCACAGAUACCUCCAAGAAUGGUCUUGGUGCAGUUUUAUUGCAAGCUGUUGAUGAGAUCUGGAAGGAAGUAGCAUAUGAGAGCAGAUCCAUGACUGAUUCUGAGUGUCGAUAUGCACAAAUUGAGAAAGAGUGCUUGGGAAUAGUCUUCGGCCUGGAGAAAUUUCAUAACUAUGUAUAUGGUCUUUCUACCUUUACUGCAGAAACUGAUCAUUGUCCAUUAAUUGCAAUAAUAAAAAAGAAUCUGAAUGAAAUGACACCAAGGAUUCAAAGGCUGAUGAUGAAAUUGCAGAGGUUCGAUUUCAAUUUGGUGUAUAUGCGUGGCAAAUACUUAGUGCUGGCAGAUACCCUCUCACAAGCACCCACAAGAAAUAAUGAGAGUACAACAGAAGGAGAUGUUGAGAUUCAUGUGAGAAUGGUACACACUGCGUUUCCAGUGUCAGAUGCAAAGUCAAAGCAAAUAGCUGAAGAAACCAAAAAAGAUGCUGAGUUGCAAGCUGUCAUCGACAACAUGUAUACUGGAUGGCCGACGAGUUCAUCUCCAAGAUUCCAGGACAUCAGAGGUGAUCUAUGUGUGGUGGACGGAAUCCUUCUGAAACAAAACAGAAUCGUCAUUCCGCAAAGCUUGACACAAGACAUACUACAUAGAAUUCACGAAGGUCAUCCCGGUGUAGUGAAAUGUAAGAGGAGAGCGAGAGAAACUGUCUUUUGGCCUGGAAUAAACGAAGACAUUGAAAAGAUGGUGAGACAGUGUGACACAUGCCAAAAAUUAGAAAAAAGCAAACUAAAGAGCCAAUGUUAAUACCGGAUUUACCAACAUCACCCUGGGAGAAGGUGGGAAUGGAUCUCUUCCAUCUGAAAGGCAAUAACUACCUUGUGGUGAUUGAUUACUACUCAAAUUACCCUGAAUUGGCCUUACUCUUGGAUAGUGUGUAAUGAAACAUGCAAAAUCAAUUUUUGCAAGACAUGGUAUACUGUCAUCAGUGAAAAUGGCCCAUGCUUCAGCAGCAAGGAGUGGCAAGAGUUUUCAGUGAAAUAUGACUUCAAGCAUGUCACUUCAAGUCCAGAAUAUGCGCAGUCAAAUGGCAAAACUGAGAAAGGGGUUCACAUUCUCAAGCAACUUUUGAAAAAGGCUGCUGACAGUAAAUCUGAUCCUUACCUUGCUCUGCUCAAUAACAGAACCUCUCCAUUAGAGUGUGGUAUGGCCCCAGCUGAGAUGCUGAUGAAUCGGAAACUUCAAACUACACUGCCCUCUUGUUCAAAACAAAAAGCAAAUGUGAAAAUAAAGCAGAAACUCAAGCAACUGAAGUAUAGACAAAAGUUAUACUAUGACAGGGCUGCAAAGCUACAUCCAUUGGUGAGGGAUGAUGUAGUCAGAAUCAAUAGUGAUGAGAAUUGGAGCAAGAAGGCCAUAGUUAUGCAAGAAGUAGCUCCAAGAUCUUCUCAUACUGUGAAAACAGAUGAUGGACAAAUCUUCAGACAGAAUGAGACAGGGGUAACUGCAGCCUGGAGCAAUGGGCGUGCCUAAAGGUAGGGGCGUGCCAAAAGGUUUCUUAUUGGUGAAAGGUGUUUUACUGUGUUGGCCAAUCAGCGGUAAAUAUACAUGUACUAAUUUCCUUUAGACAAGAGAAGGUGUCGGCGAUAAGACGUGAGGUAAUUAUUCAUCAUACGUUUAUCUAUACUCUAUAUACCACAAAUAUGUAUAUUAAGAUAGCUUGUUACAAUACGAUCAUAAUUUUCCCUUUGCGUUAUAUCUUGCAGCUUUAGUAAUUGGUUUAUUGUUGUUGACAGACAUACUGUAUGUACAGUGAGACAAAACGAUGAGCGCAUCUGCAUCGAAGCUCUCAGAGCUGAUAGUUUGUAUCGGCGUCUUUUUUGUGCAAUACAGUACAGAAUACAUCCUGUAUCCAACUAAUGCAGAGUAUAUUCAAGUUGCCAACACACUGAUUGUGAAGUACCCUUUCCAGAGAAAUAUAAAGGAAAUGACUGAAACUUGUGUUGGGGAGGAUUCAAUGUCUUUUGAGAACCACGUGAAUGUGCUACAAAGUGAGUAUCAGAAAACACCUCCAGACACCUGGACUGUCAAAGACCACUCGGCACGAACAUUCUCCUGGAGACGCUGAGAAAGCACGGAAGGAAUGUCUGUGGAGGAUGUACUCAAAACACCCAUACUUAAGGACACCUGCUGGAGGGGACCCUGCUACACCCUUUCCUACCAUACAGCUGAUGGAUACUGACUGAAAAAUGGCAAUCAUAGGAGGAGGGUUCAGUGUGAUGACAGAAGCUGGAAUAGUUGAGUGAGUUAAUGGAGUGAGUUUGAGCUCAGCAGGUGUGAUGGCUGUGGAUACAUCUACAGAAACACCACUGGAUACUGUAGCCAUGGAAAGAAGGGGGUCUUCACAGCUUUCUAUUCAGACAAAGAGUUUGCUGGAUUCUGUUCUAUGGAC